rnacentral:rRNA from 1 species
CUCUGUCACUCCUACGGGAGGCAGCAGUGGGGAAUAUUGCACAAUGGGCGCAAGCCUGAUGCAGCCAUGCCGCGUGUGUGAAGAAGGCCUUCGGGUUGUAAAGCACUUUCAGUCGUGAGGAAGGUAGUGUAGUUAAUAGCUGCAUUAUUUGACGUUAGCGACAGAAGAAGCACCGGCUAACUCCGUGCCAGCAGCCGCGGUAAUACGGAGGGUGCGAGCGUUAAUCGGAAUUACUGGGCGUAAAGCGCAUGCAGGUGGUUUGUUAAGUCAGAUGUGAAAGCCCGGGGCUCAACCUCGGAAUAGCAUUUGAAACUGGCAGACUAGAGUACUGUAGAGGGGGUAGAAUUUCAGGUGUAGCGGUGAAAUGCGUAGAGAUCUGAAGGAAUACCGGUGGCGAAGGCGGCCCCCUGGACAGAUACUGACACUCAGAUGCGAAAGCGUGGGGAGCAAACAGGAUUAGAUACCCUGGUAG